GGACAGGGUCUCACUAUGUUGCUCAGGCUGGACUCGAAUUCCUAGCCUCAAGUGAUCCAUCCACCUCGGACUCCCAAAGUGCUGGGAUUACAGGCGUGAGCCACCCAGCCCAGCAGGCAUGCAGCUUUUAAAAGGCAAUGCAUGGAGAAAGUAUAAUUGAGAAGUGCCUGCUCUUUAGAUUCAGAAGUCCUGCCCUACGUCCAGCACUCUGUCAGGGGGCUUUCAGGAGGAAGGAAGGACUAAGCCUAAGAAACAAGUUGCUUCCCCUGCAUGAAGCGUGGUUCAUCUUAGCUCCUCCUAAGAAACACAGCGUCUAGGAAUUCCUCACCACCUGCCUCCUGCGCCUAGGGUGGCUUCCACAGAGUUGAUAGUCAGGAAAUACUGGUUCAUAAAUGGGAAUUCAUUCCUUCUCUAGCUUUAGUUUUCAGUGUGUGUUGACAUAGUUCCAGGGAUUAGUCAAAUAAUGCCCUUAGGUAGCCUCUUUCUGGGCAUGCCCCAAACCCAUUGAUUAAAUCACGAAACAAAACAAAACAAAAAACAACUGUCUCUUGAACAUCUCUUUACCCUUGUUAAUGAUGUUGCCACCCAUCUCGUCAGCUAAACUAGAAACUCAAGCCAUCCUUGCCUUCUGCCUCUCCUUCAUGUCUUCCUCAUAGUCAACUGGUUGCCAAGUUUAGAUCCUGAUGCCUAAGAAUCUCUUGGCCCAACGUGUUCUUCUCUCCACCUCUCUCACUGCGGUUGCAUGGAUAUGUCUUAGAUUUUGACAACUUCUUCCUCCACCAACUCCUUCUCAUUCAUCCCUUCCAGCCCAUCACUGAGACUUAGAGGGAUGCCAUCAUCCUCAAACCCAAGGCUGAAGUUUUCCAUGGGUGGCCUGUGCCAUGCCCUGUGCUUCCCAGCCUGUCCCUGGGAUCUUCCUUUUGGUGAUAGAUCUGGCUUGUCAAGAACAAGUAGCACAUCCCUGAUUUUUGUUGUUGUUGGUUCACGCCACUGUUUUGACAAAGUUCUCCUCAAUCUCCAUUGUAUAGUAUUUCCUUACCUCCAUGCCCAUUGCUAAAGUGGGCUUUUUUCCUGCAUUGUGGACAAUCACUCACCUUCUUUUUAUGCCGUCAUAGCUUCUUGACACCUGGAGUAUAGCACAGAGCUUAGCAUACACUAAGCGUUCAAUUGAAUGAAUGAAUGAAUGAAUGUGCGCAUGACUGACGUUGAAUUCUAUUAAGAAAUGUCUAGAUUUGGCCAGGCGCAGUGGCUCACGCCUGUAAUCCCAGCACUUUGGGAGGCCAAGGCGGGAGGAUUGCUUGAGUCCAGGAGUUUGAGACCAGCCUAGGCAACCUGGCAAAACCCUAUCUCUACAAAAAAAAAAAAAAAAAAUUAGCCAGGCAUAGUGGCAUAUGCCUGUAGUUCCAGCUACAUACUGGGGGCUGACAUGGGAGAAUUGCUUGAGCCUGAGAGGCAGAGUUUGCAGUGAGCCAAGUUCGCACCACUGCACUCCAGCCACAGUGACAGAGCAAGACCCUGCCUCAAAAAAAAAAAACAUUUAAAAAAGUCUGGAUUUCUCUGCAGUAAGGAAAUCUGUUUAUACUACCUUAUCCAGGGGGAUUAUUAUUGGCACAUUUAAUAGAUAAUAUCUAUCAAUACCUCUAAAUACUUGUGUUACCUGUACAAUCUGCACCCCAAAAAUGAUUUAUCGAAGUCUAGUUAAAGGCACAGGUUUACGGAAAUGAGAUGGUUAACUCAAACAUAAUGGCUUUAAUUCCUUACAAGUGUGAAGUAAAUAAAAUAUCAAGUCAACUAAUUCAAUUCUGCUUUGCAAAUUUCAUGCAUGGGAUGAAGGGGAGUGAGCAGCGGAAAGAGACCGCUGAAUGGGAGCAGGGUUUUAGCUUAGGGUGACAGAAACGUUUUGGAACUACAUGUAGGUGAUGGUUGCACAAUAUUGAGGAUGUACGAAAUGCCAUGACAUUGUUACUUUAACAUGGUUUACUUUACGAUGUGAAUUUCACCUCAAUAAAUUAUUUUUAAUAACACACAUACUAAUAAAAAUAAAUGCCUAGAUUAGAAAAGUCCCAGGGCGUAACUUGUACAAUAAAUCCACAAAUAAAGCAUUAUGGAAUCUCGUCAUUCUGUACUUUUUUUAAAUAAAAUGCAUAGUUUGCUGCAUUUAGUCUUUUUUGUUUUGAUGUUUGUCCUGCUAAUGUUGCCUGCUUGCUUGGUGAUGUGUUCCCAGAGCAGGGACCAUGUUUGAUUAAUUGUUGAAUCCCUUGAAGUGCCAAGAGAGUUCCUUAAAUACAAGAGGUUUGGAGUACAUGUCGGUUAAAUUAAAUUCAUCUGCUUGCUAAUAAUUCCACCAUGUGGAGGGUGAGGAGGGAUGAUCAAAUGAAGGGCAGGUCAGUCCUUGUAGCUACAGAAUGUACUUCAAGCAAAAGCUCAGUGAUUAACAAAAGGCCGGAGCCCUCCUAAUCGCCAGAUGCCAUGGAACCUGAAGGAUUGCAGCUUGUUGCAGGAUGCACCAGUGACUUUUACCAGCCACUGCUUUUCACUGUUCCUCUGGUUUUACCCCAGCGCAGAGUCUCUGGAGGUGCACUGGCUGUUUUGUGUAUGAACUGCAGUUCCUGGCGAUUCUGAUUUCAAUGUGAAAGUCUAAUAUUCUAAAGGACUCUGUGGAUCACUAUGUAAUUUUCUUAACAAGGGUUGUAAAAGUAACUUUCUUAGUCACAUGACUGCAAACCCCACUGCUUCCCAAACUCUGUAAUCACGAGAAGGGCUGACCUAGUGAAUACCC
rnacentral:lncRNA from 10 species